rnacentral:rRNA from 1 species
GACGAAGGGGGCUAGCGUUGUUCGGAAUUACUGGGCGUAAAGCGCGUGUAGGCGGCUUUGCAAGUCGGGUGUGAAAGCCCUCAGCUCAACUGAGGAAGUGCGCCCGAAACUGCAGAGCUUGAGUGCCGGAGAGGGUGGCGGAAUUCCCCAAGUAGAGGUGAAAUUCGUAGAUAUUCGGAAGAACACCAGUGGCGAAGGCGGCUCACUGGCCCGUUACCGACGCUCAGGCGCGACAGCGUGGGGAGCAAACAGG